AUUGAACGCUGGCGGCAGGCCUAACACAUGCAAGUCGAGCGGAUGAGUGGAGCUUGCUCCAUGAUUCAGCGGCGGACGGGUGAGUAAUGCCUAGGAAUCUGCCUGGUAGUGGGGGACAACGUUUCGAAAGGAACGCUAAUACCGCAUACGUCCUACGGGAGAAAGUGGGGGAUCUUCGGACCUCACGCUAUCAGAUGAGCCUAGGUCGGAUUAGCUAGUUGGUGAGGUAAAGGCUCACCAAGGCGACGAUCCGUAACUGGUCUGAGAGGAUGAUCAGUCACACUGGAACUGAGACACGGUCACGACUCAUACGGGAGGCAGCAGUGGGGAAUAUUGGACGAUGGGCGAAAGCCUGAUCCAGCCAUGCCGCGUGUGUGAAGAAGGUCUUCGGAUUGUAAAGCACUUUAAGUUGGGAGGAAGGGCAGUAAGUUAAUACCUUGCUGUUUUGACGUUACCAACAGAAUAAGCACCGGCUAACUUCGUGCCAGCCGCCGCGGUAAGAC
rnacentral:rRNA from 1 species